rfam:Buttiauxella agrestis ATCC 33320 GBAG.assembly.022, whole genome shotgun sequence.
CGCUAUCAUCAUUAACUUUAUUUAUUACCGUCAUUCAUCUCUGAAUGUCUGUUUACCCCUAUUUUGGACCGGAUGCUUGCAUCCGGUUUUUUUU